CUCAUCCAUUUAGUGAAUUGUCAUUGGUUUCCAUGAGUGGAAUAUUUUCUUCUACUGAUGACUGAUAAUGUUGUGAUUUGCGUAGACUGAUUUGAAUUCAACUGAUUUGCUCACGUCUAUGUUCAAUCAAUGACUUCAAAUCAGUUUGUGGUUGGUGCAUUGAUGAAGUUAACUAUUAUGUGCUUUUUUUCAAUAAUGCAUAUUGAGCUAAUAAAAUGUUUCCGUUCUUUACAUAAACCUAAAGUAGUUGAUUAAUCGUUUUCUGAGGUGUAUUGGUGGUAGUAUCCUGGUCUAUUGUUUUGGUAGUAUUGUGGUCUAUUGUUUUUAUUCAGGUGAAUCAGCUAAAGCUUAGUUAGAUGUUUUUUGUAUUGAAUUCACAAUGUGUAUAGUUGUGGUAAUGUUCAAUUCUUUAACUGUUACUGUUUGAUUAUUCAGAUUCUGGAAACAGUGUGUUAUUCAAUUUCCCAACUGCAUUGGAUUCAGUGAUGGCAGCAAAACCUGAAGAAACAGAACUAAGGAGACAUUUACGUCAUCAGAAUGGAGAAGGCCAAGCUUUUGGUCCUAUUUCUGAUAUGGAGAAAGAUCGACAAAUUAGAUCAAGAAGGUGGAGACAACGUUCUAUGCAAACGAUUAUUUGUAUUGUUCAGUUGCUGCUUUUCUUGGUCUGUAUUGAGAUUGGUCAUUGUCUAGAUAUCAGUAACAGUGUGCAAUCGGAAUUUGAAAGUGCUUUGAACUUGGAUCAUAAAGGAUGGUGGAUGUGGCUGCUGCUGGUGCGGGGAACACAAGUAAGGAUCCAAAUUUGAUCCCACCACCUCCUCCAACCAUUCCACCCAAUGUGAAGCCAGGAGUCCUGACUUCUCCCAAGUAUUCUAUUACGAGUAGGAAACAAUUGCUUGCAAACCACUUCAAACUCACUGUGAAAGCUCCAGAUUCUGUAUUCUACCAAUAUUCUGUUCAUAUUACUUCUGAAAACAAGAAGGCCGCUCAAGGCAAGGGAAUUGGCAGAAAACUGGUUGACAGGCUCUAUCAAAUAUAUUCUUCUAAACUUGCUGAUAACAAGUUUGUGUAUGAUAAAGAGAAAGCUCUAUAUACAGUUGGUCCUCUGCCACAGAACAAGCCUGACUUUACAGUUCCCCUGGAGGAGACAUUUGCAAAGAGAGUGAAAAAGUGGAGCCUAACAAUACGUACUUAAAGAAAAAUGUAAGCCAUGCAUUACCAGUAUAAUGGACUUCAAUUUUGUUCAAGCACCUGGAUGCCAUCAACAACCAUACUCAACUUUACAAUGUCACAAAAGAACUUCAGCCCGUCUUUUCCAACAAACUGCAUUACAACUCACUGUAUGCUACUGCAGACAUUCGAGAGGCAAAACCAAAAAUUCCAAAAAGAAAAGCAGAAAGCUUAUUCGGCUGAUUUCAUUCUGAUACUCAAUCUAACUUCUUGGCAGAAGCAGAUAUUCCGGAAGGAAUUCAAGAAGUUUACAAGGAAGUUCAGUUGGCGGUGCUGUUUGUAUGCGCUUGACGAGGUGGUAGUGUUUGUGAAAGAACCUCAUCUUAAACUGGAACAGAUUUUCAGUUAAAUGUGACUUAAGCUUAUCAGAAGGCUGUGUGCGCAUCAGUGUUUUGCUGAAUUGCAGAGUAUUAUUCCUUCAUGGUCAAAGCUUAUGCUCGGUGGCUCAGCCAGCCCCAGCCCCUCCAAUUAUUUGAAUUUGCUAUUAGUUGUCUAUAUCUGUAUGAAUAUUAAGUGGUAGCUUGCCAACAUCUUACAUUCACUCUGUACUUCUUUCAAACAUGUAUUUACACUUUCUUUUCUACUCUUUCAUUUUCA